GUGCUUGCAUCAUGAAUUACAUUUGAGUGAGUGGCGAACUGGUGAGUAACACGUGGGAAACCUGCCCAGAAGCGGGGGAUAACACCUGGAAACAGAUGCUAAUACCGCAUAACAACUUGGACCGCAUGGUCCGAGUUUGAAAGAUGGCUUCGGCUAUCACUUUUGGAUGGUCCCGCGGCGUAUUAGCUAGAUGGUGAGGUAACGGCUCACCAUGGCAAUGAUACGUAGCCGACCUGAGAGGGUAAUCGGCCACAUUGGGACUGAGACACGGCCCAAACUCCUACGGGAGGCAGCAGUAGGGAAUCUUCCACAAUGGACGAAAGUCUGAUGGAGCAACGCCGCGUGAGUGAAGAAGGGUUUCGGCUCGUAAAACUCUGUUGUUAAAGAAGAACAUAUCUGAGAGUAACUGUUCAGGUAUUGACGGUAUUUAACCAGAAAGCCACGGCUAACUACGUGCCAGCAGCCGCGGUAAUACGUAGGUGGCAAGCGUUGUCCGGAUUUAUUGGGCGUAAAGCGAGCGCAGGCGGUUUUUUAAGUCUGAUGUGAAAGCCUUCGGCUCAACCGAAGAAGUGCAUCGGAAACUGGGAAACUUGAGUGCAGAAGAGGACAGUGGAACUCCAUGUGUAGCGGUGAAAUGCGUAGAUAUAUGGAAGAACACCAGUGGCGAAGGCGGCUGUCUGGUCUGUAACUGACGCUGAGGCUCGAAAGUAUGGGUAGCAAACAGGAUUAGAUACCCUGGUAGUCCAUACCGUAAACGAUGAAUGCUAAGUGUUGGAGGGUUUCCGCCCUUCAGUGCUGCAGCUAACGCAUUAAGCAUUCCGCCUGGGGAGUACGGCCGCAAGGCUGAAACUCAAAGGAAUUGACGGGGGCCCGCACAAGCGGUGGAGCAUGUGGUUUAAUUCGAAGCUACGCGAAGAACCUUACCAGGUCUUGACAUACUAUGCAAAUCUAAGAGAUUAGACGUUCCCUUCGGGGACAUGGAUACAGGUGGUGCAUGGUUGUCGUCAGCUCGUGUCGUGAGAUGUUGGGUUAAGUCCCGCAACGAGCGCAACCCUUAUUAUCAGUUGCCAGCAUUAAGUUGGGCACUCUGGUGAGACUGCCGGUGACAAACCGGAGGAAGGUGGGGAUGACGUCAAAUCAUCAUGCCCCUUAUGACCUGGGCUACACACGUGCUACAAUGGAUGGUACAACGAGUUGCGAACUCGCGAGAGUAAGCUAAUCUCUUAAAGCCAUUCUCAGUUCGGAUUGUAGGCUGCAACUCGCCUACAUGAAGUCGGAAUCGCUAGUAAUCGCGGAUCAGCAUGCCGCGGUGAAUACGUUCCCGGGCCUUGUACAC
rnacentral:rRNA from 1 species